UAUAGUUUGCACCUCAACAAAAGCAAACCUGCUCAGGAGGAACUACGGCUAUUUGGUCUCCAUAAACUGCUGAUGUUCAGUCUCCAUGAACAGUUUUGUCAGUGGGCUUGAAUGAGACUGCAGAGGUCGUGUUUAAUUUGAAUUAGAAACUUUUUACGGCUGCCACUAUAUAUCAGUCCACGCACAUGAAAUUAGUGCAUACAUUUCUGAUGCUUGACCUGUGUGACAUUUAACGAUAGCCGAUAGCAUGGAUGUGAUUGGUAGCUACAGGCAUGUCUUCACUGGACGAGCAGUAUGAAAACAUGGAAGAGAUGCUUUUUGGAUGAGUCCUAUCAAAGCCCUGGGAAAUUCAAAAGAUUAAAAUUUGUGCUGAGCCAUACAGAUGAGCAGAGGAACUCUAAUUGAAAUACAGACUCUGUGUUGUUCUUGGAAACUGGGCAAAAUUCCCCAUCUCGGCUCUGCCAGCAUAUCUCAGUCCUAGACUUCAGCCUCCACUGCUUCUCUGCUCCAUAAGACGUACACUCAGCUUGGCCAGCGCAUCUCAAUCUUGAUCUGUAACACCUCCUGCUGUUCCAGUUCUGGCUCCUUUUUGAGCAAAAAAUACUAACUCUGCUAAGUUGUGCCAAAUUGCUUGGUUUUGGCCACAGAAUGCAUUUUCGCUUGUCACCUAACGGGAUACCUAGAGACCUUCAUCCAACACUGUCAGCAACAGAAGGAAAAAAGAACAUUUCAGUUUCUGAGAGAUCCUCCAGUUUCCUCUGACAUGCCUGUAAGCUGAGAUUUCAGCUCUUUUGGGAGAACCCAUCAUUCUGUUCCUUGUUGGCAGAAGGAUUUGUCACACAACAAGGGACACGGCUGGGCCCUGGAAGACAAACUGGGUGGAGAGACAAAGGCAGAACUGGCUCUAGAGAGUGGACGCUUUCUGGUGACAAAGUUGAGACUAAACGCAGAUGAACAUCAUUUACCCCCUUGUGAUAUGAGCAAAAAGGGUUUCCUUGCUUGGCCUGGAACACCGAAUGGACUUGCCAGUGAAAGAAAGCCUUGCACUUGCCAGAACGCUUUCAGAUCAAGUCAUCUUUGCCAGCCAGAGCAGUCUCUUCUUGUCUGCUUCCAAGAGGCAUGAGCUUAAACAACUGGUCUCAGAGUGGGGUGUAUCUACAGUCUUAACCACGAAGAGAGGUGAUGAAAUGUUCUCCUCUUCAGUCUAUACAGAAGAGACUGGAGCUAAGCUGCUAUCUUCAUAACAGUAAAACUGCAGUUCAAUCUGAAUUCUUUGUUCAUGUUUCAUUGCUUCUUUUGAGGAAAACAGUGAUCGUGAGAUCAGAC